rnacentral:lncRNA from 1 species
CCUCAUUUAUAUGAAUUUGCACAAUCAUUUUAAUAUCUGGAGCAGGUACAACAAGUAUAGGUAAUAAACCUUCCAUGACGAUAAUUCCUUAAAACCCUACAAAACGAAAAUAACAAAGAGUGAAAAAUAGCAACAAUUUGAUAUGAUUUUUUUUUUGUUUUUGGUAUUACGAAAUUUGAUGGGAUUUAGUUUUAGGUAGAAAACUCUCCUCAAAUAUAGGGUUAUAUGAAGAAUACUCAAGUUUUUAUUUUAUUCAUCAUGCUUAUGACUUUAUAUAUAGAGCUACACAUAAAAACAAAUCAUAUAUUUUUUUAGAAAAAAAAAACUAAUCCUAUAAUAAAUUCUAAACAAAUUUUAAAUAUUCUAAACUAUGAAAAAACAACCAUAUCUGAAAAAACAAAUUUUAAAUUUUUAAAAAAACUAAUCCUAUAAUAAAUUCUAAACAAAUUUUAAAUACGAUUAGGACAAAAUUUGUUGAGAUUUCUAGAUGAUGACUUAAAGAAUUGUUCUUCUCAACUAUGAAAUCUAAAACUAUCGUCAUAGAUUUUAUACAAUUCGUUGUUAAUUAGUACUUACACUUGUAAGCCAUAUCUUGCUCUUGUCAAAAGAAAAAAACCAUAUCUUGCAUGUUAGCUUUUCUUUUAAAAUUUUAAUCCUCUUUGAAACAUUGCCAUCUAAAUAAUGACAAGUGCUCAAAAGAUAACAAGUAUGUGUGUAUAUAUAUAUCUAAUGAUGCCAAUGCAUAGUGAUAAUUGUCUCCACUUGAGUUAUGAUACUAUAUGGUGUAAUCUCUCAAAAGGAUUUGAUUCCUGAUAAAGACAUUUUGUCACUUCCGAUAUUGUUCUUUUUUAUAUUUUCAAUUUGCAAACAAAACAAUGGUGUCAACAUAUGUACAUUAAAACAAUAAGAUCCAAUAAUUAAAUAAUAUAUGGACAUCAUUUUUAAAUUAGGAUGUUUUCUUUUACUUCACCCCCCUGCAUGAAGAGCAACUCACAACCAAAACAACACCACCUUAAUAAAAACUCUCACAUUGUUGCUUCUGCUACCACCCCAAGAUCUAUAAGAAAGUAAAUUGAGUUUUUUUUUCUUUCAUUAAUUGCACAAUUUUUAAGAAAUAUGAAUCAAAUUGCAAUAUUUCUUUUUUAAAAGUUUAUUCCAUUCUUGUAUUAAUAUUUUUUUAUUCCAUUUUUAAAAAAUCAUUCUUUUUAAUUCAUGAUUUGAGAUUACCGUGCUGAUUUUCUCCAAUUUUGAAAAAUAAUUCCUUUUAAAAAUCAUUACUUGAUACGUAGUUGGUAAUCUCAAAUCAUAAAUUAAAUGUGAGAUGAUUUUCACUUUUAAAUGUACUACUAAGAACAUCUUAAAUAAGAGUAUCAUAAAAAGUUUUAUAGGUUAUAGGUUAAUACAGUAAUAUAUACUGUACCUUAUUUUUUCCAUGUGUGUAUUAAAUCAAAUUUAAUUGCUUCUAUAUAUAACAAAACAUUACAAUUGAUUUUAUUUUUUUUUACUAACAUAUAUUUCAUAUUGUUCUAUAUAUUAGACAAUUUCUAUUUGUUUCAUUCUUAAAUCAUAUUUUAUCGGUUUCCUAUCAAAUAAUUAAUUAUAAUAUUUUUCAUUAUAUAUUUCCCGUCAUAUUAAUUGAUUUAUUUUUCACAUUUUGAUUUAUAAUUAAUUACUAAGGGUGAACAAAAAAAAAGGGUGGGAAUAUACAAGUUUUAUGCCCCUUGACAAACUAACAGAUCCAUUAAAAUGAUAUAACCAAACAAAAAAUAAAAUAAAACAGAAGAAACAGAUCAAAAAGCGUAAGAGAGAAAGAAUAUUGACCGAGAGAGAACAAGCUCUGCGAUGAGUCCCGAUCGGGAGGAAGCUGGCGGUGCGCGCGCGGAGGUUCGUCGGAUUCGUCGUUGGUUCUGAUUCUUCCUACUCAGUUUUGCUUAUUGGUUCUGUCUCUUUGCUGUUUCUUCUGUUGUGGUUCAGUUUCUUU